rnacentral:rRNA from 1 species
CCUACGGGAGGCAGCAGUGAGGAAUAUUGGUCAAUGGGCGUAAGCCUGAACCAGCCAAGUCGCGUGAAGGAUGACUGCCCUAUGGGUUGUAAACCUCUUUUGUCAGGGAGCAAUUGGCGCUACGUGUAGCGUUAUCUAUAUUACCUGUAGAAAAAGCAUCGGCUAACUCCGUGCCAGCAGCCGCGGUAAUACGGAGGAUGCGAGCGUUAUCCGGAUUUAUUGGGUUUAAAGGGAGCGUAGAUGGGUUGUUAAGUCAGUUGUGAAAGUUUGCGGCUCAACCGUAAAAUUGCAAUUGAUACUGGCAGCCUUGAGUACAGUUGAGGUAGGCGGAAUUCGUGGUGUAGCGGUGAAAUGCUUAGAUAUCACGAAGAACCCCGAUUGCGAAGGCAGCUUACUAAACUGUGACUGACAUUGAUGCUCGAAAGUGUGGGUAUCAAACAGGAUUAGAUACCCUUGUAGUC